UGUGGAAGGUUUUGAGGGCCUCCUCCAAUUCAACACCAUUAUCUUAUUCAGAUCAUUAUAUACAUGUUAUUGACUUGAUUUUCAUUCGUUUUUUAACAUAUACCCAAGCAAAAAUUAACAUGUAAGUAAAGCACAAAGAAGAGAUGCCAAAUCCAACAACAUUGAUGGCACAAAUUGGGGAAAACCGUUACUCUAACCCUAAGCUCAAAUUCCAUAAAUUACUCACCAAAUGCUAGUUAUUGAAUAAUCGCAAGGUGUCUGUGCGGGGUCUUUGUGCAGCUUUGCUCCACAAAUGGAACUUAUCACUUCCAACGAAUACGGCUUCUCUCCUUCCCCUUCCACUGAUUCGCCCCUUCACUGUUUCAGAAUCCACACCUUUGCCCCUUCCACUCAAAAUAAAUACUUUUUCAGGGUUUGGAGAACGGACUGGCGUUCAACCGUUGCCUUCAACCGUCGUUAACCGUUGCCUUCAACCGUUUCUCAGAGCUUAGCAGUUUCUCAGAGCUAUGGGUUUUAGAGCAAUGGGUUUUUUCUGUUCAAACUUCGAACUUGCCUCUUCUUUUUUUUUUUCGGACCUGCUGGAUAUUAAAUUCAGGUUUGGGUUCCUCACCUACCCGAUUAUAAAACUUUAUCUCAAUUCUCCCCAGCACUUGAAUUGAUCUUAUGGCUAUAAAGUGAACCCCUUAUAACUUACCCCUUAUAACUUUCCACUCAUUAUUUCUGAGCGUAAUAUUUUUGGAUUGGUUUCUAAAGAUGAAACCUUGAAGUUCACUGGAACAUCUAAAGUGAACAGAGGUUAAGACUAUAUUAAACGUAUUAAGAAGGUGAACAUACCUCAUAAAGUAAUAUGAUGUUAUAGUGUGCUAUUUGGAAAGCAUUUUUGUGACUCAUACUUUGAAUCGAGUACGAAUGCAGGAUGCUAGAAAAACUACCGUCUUAGUCAUCUGCUCUUUUGUAUUCGAAUUUGAUCUCUCUUCCUAUAUAGUAGAGUAAUUAAAAUACCGAUUUAUAACUAUUUUUUAUUAACAAACCAAAGAAACAUUCACUUUUCU
rnacentral:lncRNA from 1 species